AUUGAACGCUGGCGGCAGGCCUAACACAUGCAAGUCGAACGAGUGGCGGACGGGUGAGUAAUGUCUGGGAAACUGCCAGAUGGAGGGGGAUAACUACUGGAAACGGUAGCUAAUACCGCAUACCAUCGGAUGUGCCCAGAUGGGAUUAGCUAGUGGGUGGGGUAACGGCUCACCUAGGCGACGAUCCCUAGCUGGUCUGGACGGAGGACCAGCCACACGGGAACUGAGAAACGGUCCAGACUCCUACGGGAGGAAGCAGUGGGGAAUAUUGCACAAGGGGCGCAAGCCUGAUGCAGCCAUGCCGCGUGUGUGAAGAAGGCCUUCGGGUUGUAAAGCACUUUCAGCGAGGAGGCGUUACUCGCAGAAGAAGCACCGGCUAACUCCGUGCCAGCAGCCGCGGUAAUUC
rnacentral:rRNA from 1 species